UCCCUGUUGGCUCAGUGGUAGAGAAUCUGCCUGCCAAUGCAGGAGACUCAGGUUCAAUCCCUGGGUCAGGAA
rnacentral:tRNA from 1 species